rnacentral:rRNA from 1 species
AUUGAACGCUGGCGGCAUGCCUUACACAUGCAAGUCGAACGGCAGCGGGCCUUCGGGUGCCGGCGAGUGGCGAACGGGUGAGUAAUGCAUCGGAACGUGCCAUUGAGUGGGGGAUAACGUAGCGAAAGUUACGCUAAUACCGCAUAUUCUGUGAGCAGGAAAGCAGGGGACCGCAAGGCCUUGCGCUCUUUGAGCGGCCGAUGUCAGAUUAGCUAGUUGGUGAGGUAAAGGCUUACCAAGGCGACGAUCUGUAGCGGGUCUGAGAGGAUGAUCCGCCGCACUGGAACUGAGACACGGUCCAGACUCCUACGGGAGGCAGCAGUGGGGAAUUUUGGACAAUGGGCGCAAGCCUGAUCCAGCCAUGCCGCGUGAGUGAAGAAGGCC